rnacentral:rRNA from 1 species
UACGAAGGGGGCUAGCGUUGCUCGGAAUGACUGGGCGUAAAGGGCGCGUAGGCGGCUUGCACAGUCAGGCGUGAAAUUCCUGGGCUCAACCUGGGGACUGCGCUUGAGACGUGUGGGCUUGAGUGGGGAAGAGGGUCGUGGAAUUCCCAGUGUAGAGGUGAAAUUCGUAGAUAUUGGGAAGAACACCGGUGGCGAAGGCGGCGACCUGGUCCUUGACUGACGCUGAGGCGCGAAAGCGU